UACAGAGGGGGCAAGCGUUAUUCGGAAUUAUUGGGCGUAAAGGGCGCGUAGGCGGCUUUGCAAGUGAGGGGUGAAAUCCCUCGGCUUAACCGAGGAACUGCCUGUCAGACUGUGAGGCUUGAGACCGGGAGAGGUGAGUGGAAUUCCCAGUGUAGCGGUGAAAUGCGUAGAUAUUGGGAGGAACACCUGAGGUGAAGACGGGUUGCUGGGCUGAUACUGACGCUGAGGCGCGAAAGCUAGGGUAGCAAACGGG
rnacentral:rRNA from 1 species